AUGCGUUCGGCCGAAAUCGCGCUGUACGCGACGACGCACAGGAUGCGUCACACUUUCCAGAGGACCCGUAGAUAGGCUUUGUACGCGGGUGGUCUUGCGCCACGAUGCCGGAGUUGGGUGCCGGAGUCACAUCAAGGUCGCAAGAUCGAAACCCAUCAGGAACGGUUCGGCUCCGUUACCUGUGUAGGCACUGAACAUACUUGUGCCGAACUUCCCCGAAAGAGUGCCAUCUCGGCCUUCCUAGGUCGCUGCUCUACGGGUGAGGACGCUGGUGCGGCGGGUUCUGAUGGUUUCCCCGCGAGAGCUAUCCUGCUUUCUAGAAGCCGGUCUGCGAGCCAGUUGGCGCUGAUGCGCCGGGGCAGGAGGAGGCCCCUGAUUAGGGAAUGUGCGUCACCCAGCGCCGAUCUGCGAGCCCGUGUUUCGAGGCGUUACCGUGGCCCAGUAUGGCCGAUGGUUGCAGACAACCCCCCUCCCCCAAAUUCGCUAGCCCGCCCGUGGGCUUUGUACGCGGGUGGUCUUGCGCCACGAUGCCGGAGUUGGGUGCCGGAGUCACAUCAAGGUCGCAAGAUCGAAACCCAUCGGGAACGGUUCGGCUCCGUUACCUGUGUAGGCACUGAACAUACUUGUGCCGAACUUCCCCAAACGAGCGCCAUCUCGGCCUUCCUAGGUCGCUGCUCUACGGGUGCGGACGCUGGUGCGGCGGGUUCUGAUGGUUUCCCCGCGAGAGCUAUCCUGCUUACUAGAAGCCGGUCUGCAAGCCAGUUGGCGCUGAUGCGCCGGGGCAGGAGGAGGCCCCUGAAUAGGGAAUGUGCGUCACCCAGCGCCGAUCUGCGAGCCCGUGUUUCGAGGCGUUACCGUGGCCCAGUAUGGCCGAUGGUUGCAGACAACCCCCCUCCCCCACAUACCUAACCCGCCCGUGGGCUUUGUACGCGGGUGGUCUUGCGCCACGAUGCCGGAGUUGGGUGCCGGAGUCACAUCAAGGUCGCAAGAUCGAAACCCAUCAGGAACGGUUCGGCUCCGUUACCUGUGUAGGCACUGAACAUACUUGUGCCGAACUUCCCCGAAAGAGUGCCAUCUCGGCCUUCCUAGGUCGCUGCUCUACGGGUGAGGACGCUGGUGCGGCGGGUUCUGAUGGUUUCCCCGCGAGAGCUAUCCUGCUUUCUAGAAGCCGGUCUGCGAGCCAGUUGGCGCUGAUGCGUCGGGGCAGGAGGAGGCCCCUGAUUAGGGAAUGCGCGUCACCCAGCGCCGAUCUGCGAGCCCGUGUUUCGAGGCGUUACCGUGGCCCAGUAUGGCCGAUGGUUGCAGACAACCCCCCUCCCCCAAAUUCGCUAACCUGGGUGAACCGGGGCACGCUGCAGCGGGAGCCAGGACCGGCGUCUUCCGGGCGGC
rnacentral:lncRNA from 1 species